CCCUUAGAUGUUCUGGGCCGCACGCGCGCUACACUGAUGCAUUCAACGAGUCUAAAACCUGGUCUGAUAGGGCUGGGUAAUCUUUUGAAUGUGCAUCGUGAUUGGGAUAGAUGAUUGCAAUUCUUCAUCUUCAACGAGUAAUGCCUAGUAAACGCAAGUCAUCAGCUUGCAUUGAUUACGUCCCUGCCCUUUGUACACACCGCCCGUCGCUCCUACCGAUUGAAUGAUCCGAUGAAUAUCAUGGAUUGAGGAUGCAAGUAGGUUCGCCUAUCUUCAUCUUCGAGAAGUGAAGUAAAUCUUAUCAUUUAGAGGAAGGAGAAGUCGUAACA
rnacentral:rRNA from 1 species